AGAGUUUGAUCCUGGCUCAGGACGAACGCUGCGGCGUGCCUAAUACAUGCAAGUGGAGCGACGAACCAGGCUUCGGCCUGGGGCAAAGCCGCGAACGGGUGAGUAACACGUGGGUAACCUGCCCCGAUGAUUGGGACAACCCGAGGAAACUCGGGCUAAUACCGAAUGUGCCCUUCGGCCAUAAGGCUGCUGGGGAAAGGAAGCUUCGGCCUCCGCAUCGGGAUGGGCCCGCGGCCCAUUAGCUUGUUGGUGAGGUAACGGCUUACCAAGGCAACGAUGGGUAGCUGGUCUGAGAGGACGAUCAGCCACACUGGGACUGAGACACGGCCCAGACUCCUACGGGAGGCAGCAGUAGGGAAUCUUGCGCAAUGCGCGAAAGCGUGACGCAGCAACGCCGCGUGGGGGAAGAAGGCCUUCGGGUUGUAAGCCCCUUUCAGUUGGGACGAAGCUCCGCCGGUGAACAGCCGGUUGGGGUGACGGUACCUUCAGAAGAAGCCCCGGCUAACUACGUGCCAGCAGCCGCGGUAAUACGUAGGGGGCAAGCGUUGUCCGGAAUCAUUGGGCGUAAAGAGCGUGUAGGCGGCUCGGUAAGUCCGCUCUGAAAGUCCGGGGCUCAACCCCGGGAGGCGGGCGGAUACUGUCGGGCUAGAGUCCGGAAGAGGCGAGUGGAAUUCCCGGUGUAGCGGUGAAAUGCGCAGAUAUCGGGAGGAACACCAAUGGCGAAGGCAGCUCGCUGGGACGGUACUGACGCUGAGACGCGAAAGCGUGGGGAGCAAACAGGAUUAGAUACCCUAGUAGUCC
rnacentral:rRNA from 1 species